AGCCCUCAUCACUCCUCGCACUGCACCCCGCACCCUCCGAUCUACCAGCACUGCUCCACUGGUCCCACCAUCUCUCAGGGUAAGAGGAGGGUGAGAGCGAGAGGCUCACAGAAUCCUCCAAGAAGAGAAGGAGGAGAUGAUGAAGACUCUGGCACAUGAAGAGGAGUUACAACAUUUCUUCUCAAAAAUACAUGGCUACUUUUGUGAACCCUGUGUGUGUGUGUGUGUGUGAGUGCAUGUGUGUGUGCAUGUGUGUAUAUGUACUGGUUUCUUCCUAUUUUUAAACUACCCUUAUGAGUGUGAACAUGUGAAAGCAUCUGAGUUUGAACUACACGUGUGUUUUAGGAGUACGAGCGAGAGCAGGAGGCUCACAGUAUCCUCCAGGCUGAGAACAGUGAGUCCAUCACUCACCUGGAGGAAGAGAACAAUGAGAGGAAGAAGACUCUGAUUGACCAGAAGGAGUUACUGAAGGUCAAUCUGGGUGAAGGUGAGGAGAAACAGCAGAACCAUCAGGAGGUCAUCACUCAGCUGGAGGAGGAGAACAAUGAGAUGAUGAAGACUCUGAUACACAAGG